AUAGCUCUUAAGCUGGUUUCCAUGCCGGUAGAGAAAGUAUAAAGGAAGAGUUGAACUGAGGCAGACACUGAGAGACAAUCAGAAGCGAUGAAGGAGGGAUCGGAUAAGGGAUUCCACUUGAUAAUGGAAAAUCACUUCUUCCAUUCUCCAAGACCAAGAAAUCUAAUUCGGAAGGGGAUGUUGUCUGUUGAGUCAAUCCAAGCUCCGUUGUGCAGACUAUGAGAUCGAGGGGAUCCCAUGAAGAGGUUUAGCUACCUUCAAGUCGAUGAUAUGGUUCGGAAAAUCCAAGGUAGUAGGUGCCGUAAACUGUUCCGGGAGAGGUUGGAUUAAUGUAGAGAUGGGCAUCAUUGCUUGUGAGGCAUGCAGAGCUCGACUCCUAUUUUCUUCUCCAUCAUCUUGGGCUCAGCAACAAGGACUUCAAAAAGAGCUGAUUGGACACAAGGAUCCAUGUGGCUGACCCAUUUAGUUGGGAGAAGGAGAAGGAUCUUAUGCAGGCACAACUAGACCAACAUUUGAAGUUUGACAAUUAGACAGCACAGACAUUUUUGCCCGUGGAUUUUUUCAAGUGUUGCACUGCACCUGGAUGACAACAAACACUGUCCGCUCUAGGUCAUGGCAAAGAGCCUUCUCAACAUUUUCUUGCAGUCUCUAUCUUCUUCCUUUCUUUUUUUUUCUGACAGGCUGAUGAUCCCAUUGCGUCGGUCCAAUGAUUUUCAUGUCUCUGUAUCCAAAUAAAAUAAAGACUUCUCAUGAAUCAAGCUAAAGUUAUUGAGAAUAAGUGAUCAGUUUUGCAGGGUGAGAUCAACAUGGAUCUUCAUAGGUCAGACACUAUCCUUUAGUGUAAAAAAACUAUACUUAAGUGAUGGUGGCUGGAGACCAAGUGUGUGCUAUUGAUGGAGCAGUCUUGGCUUUUAUAGAUUGCUGCAUUUCCUGCCUCGUGAAACCCAUCUCCAGUGUCUAAUGUAAUGAAAGCAAUGUGAGACAAUGUAUUAUUCUGCUUGGUUUUGUAAUCUCAACAGCUAUGCCAUUCUGCAUCACAGACCUCUCUCUCUCUCUCUCUCUCUCUCUCUC